rnacentral:rRNA from 1 species
UGAACGCUGGCGGCAGGCCUAACACAUGCAAGUCGAAUGGUAACAGGAAACAGCUUGCUGUUUCGCUGACGAGUGGCGGACGGGUGAGUAAUGUCUGGGAAACUGCCUGAUGGAGGGGGAUAACUACUGGAAACGGUAGCUAAUACCGCAUAACGUCGCAAGACCAAAGAGGGGGACCUUCGGGCCUCUUGCCAUCAGAUGUGCCCAGAUGGGAUUAGCUAGUAGGUGGGGUAACGGCUCACCUAGGCGACGAUCCCUAGCUGGUCUGAGAGGAUGACCAGCCACACUGGAACUGAGACACGGUCCAGACUCCUACGGGAGGCAGCAGUGGGGAAUAUUGCACAAUGGGCGCAAGCCUGAUGCAGCCAUGCCGCGUGUAUGAAGAAGGCCUUCGGGUUGUAAAGUACUUUCAGCGGGGAGGAAGGGAGUAAAGUUAAUACCUUUGCUCAUUGACGUUACCCGCAGAAGAAGCACCGGCUAACUCCGUGCCAGCAGCCGCGGUAAUACGGAGGGUGCAAGCGUUAAUCGGAAUUACUGGGCGUAAAGCGCACGCAGGCGGUUUGUUAAGUCAGAUGUGAAAUCCCCGGGCUCAACCUGGGAACUGCAUCUGAUACUGGCAAGCUUGAGUCUCGUAGAGGGGGGUAGAAUUCCAGGUGUAGCGGUGAAAUGCGUAGAGAUCUGGAGGAAUACCGGUGGCGAAGGCGGCCCCCUGGACGAAGACUGACGCUCAGGUGCGAAAGCGUG